rnacentral:rRNA from 1 species
AUUGAACGCUGGCGGCAGGCCUAACACAUGCAAGUCGAGCGAGCGGCGGACGCGUGAGAAAUGUAUGGGGACUGCUCGAUAGAGGGGGAUAACUACUGGAAACGGUAGCUAAUACCCCAUACUAUCGGAUAACCCAUAUGGGAUUAGCUAGUAGGUGGGGUAGAGGCUCACCUAGGCGACGAUCCCUAGCUGGUCUGAGAGGAUGAUCAGCCACACUGGAACUGAGACACGGCCCAGACUCCUACGGAGGCAGCAGUGGGGAAUAUUGCACAAUGGGCGCAAGCCUGAUGAAGCCAUGCCGCGUGUAUGAAGAAGGCCCUAGGGUUGUAAAGUACUUUCAGCGGGGAGGCGUUACCGGCAGAAGAAGCACCGGCUAACUCCGUGCCAGCAGCCGCGGUAAUUC